AAAAGAUGAGGGUAUUGGCUGCGCAUAUCCCGCUCGGUCUCCCAAGUCGCCUCCUUGGCUGGCUGACCCCGCCACUGCACCUUUACUGAAGCUAUAUCCUUUGACCUGAGCUUUCGAACAUGUCCAUCCAAUAUUGCCACUAGCUCCUCAACAUAGGAGAAUUCAUUGUCCAACUGGACUGAAGUGAACUCCAACACAUGAGACGUGUCACCAUGAUACCUCUAAAGCGAGCUCAUAAGCAACAUUUCCAACCUGCCUCAAAAUCUCAAAUGGACCAAUGUACCUCGGGCUCAACUUUCCUUUCUUUCCAAGCCUCAUAACACCUUUCAUAGGCGAGACCCGAAGCAAAACCCGCUCACCAA
rnacentral:lncRNA from 1 species